rnacentral:lncRNA from 1 species
CCCAUUCGGCUCGCAUCCAAAGCCCUGGAUCAACUUUUUGGUGUCGAAAUCUUUUAAAAUAACCGUUGUACUUUAAAAGUUUGAGUUGUUAGAGAACGUGUUUAUAUCUUUUUAUAUUUAACACUCUUCUCACAUCUGAGUUCGAGACUGUUUUGAAAAUUAAUAAUAUUAGAAAUCUGACAUAACUCAAACUUAGGAUCUCCUGCUCUAAUACUAUAUAAAUAACCGUUGUAUUCUAAAAACUUAAGCUGUUUUAGAAAACGAUGUUUAUACACUUUUAUGUUUAACAUAUUCUACUUU